rnacentral:rRNA from 1 species
UACGUAGGGGGCAAGCGUUGUCCGGAUUUAUUGGGCGUAAAGAGCGUGUAGGCGGCCAGACAGGUCAGCUGUGAAAACUCGAGGCUCAACCUCGAGACGUCGGUUGAAACCGUCUGGCUAGAGUCCGGAAGAGGAGAGUGGAAUUCCCGGUGUAGCGGUGAAAUGCGCAGAUAUCGGGAAGAACACCUAUGGCGAAGGCAGCUCUCUGGGACGGUACUGACGCUGAGACGCGAAAGCGUGGGGAGCGAACAGG